CUGGGGCUUCUGGGCCUGGGCGAUGCCUGAUCGCACGCCGCGUGGGGAUAUACCUUCGGGCUUAAUCAUCAAUUCAGGGAGCUGAUAGGGCUGACAAGCUCUGAUCCGACGGUACCAUGCGUAAGCCCGGCUAUUUACGUGCCAGCAGCCGCGGUAAUACGUAGGUGGCAAGCGUUCCUCGGAAUUCCUGGGCGUAAAGGGCGCGUAGGCGGCUCUGCUAAGUCGGCUGUGAUAGCCCGGGGCUCAUCCCCGGAGGGUCGGCCGCUACUGGCGAGCUAGAGUACGGAAGAGGUAGCCUGGACCUCCCGGUGUAGCGGUGAACUGCGUAGAUAUCGGGAGGAACACCUGAGGCGAAGCGGGCUUACUUGGGCCGAUACUGACGCUUAGGCGCGAAAGCCAGGGGAGCAAACGGGAUUAGAUACCCCGGUUAGUUCCUGGCCCUAAACGAUGGACACUUUGUUGUGUCGGGUAUUCCAUUCCCGGCUUGCCGGAUUUUAACGCUUUAAUUGUCCCGCCUGGGGA
rnacentral:rRNA from 1 species